GUCCUUUUGAAUUUAAUUGAAGGUCUGACCUGCCCAGUGAUGAAUUUAACGGCCGCGGUAUACUGACCGUGCAAAGGUAGCAUAAUCAUUAGUCUUUUAAUAGAGGGCUGGAAUGAAUGGUUUAACGAGGAACUGACUGUCUCACUUUAUUUGUUUUAAAAUUUAAUUUUUUAGUCAAAAAGCUAAAAUUUUAUUGGAAGACGAGAAGACCCUAUAGAUCUUUAUAUAAUUUUUUAUAAUUAUUUUUAUAUUAAUGUGAUUAUAUUAAUUUGUAUUUUGUUGGGGUGACAAAAAUAUAUAAUUAACUUUUUUAUUUGUUUACCAUUGAUAUAUGAAUAUUAGAUCCAUUACUAGUGAUUGUUAGAUUAAGUUACCUUAGGGAUAACAGCGUAAUCCUCCUCCAGAGUUCAUAUUUACAGGAAGGGCUUGCGACCUCGAUGUUGGAUUAAGAUAAUAGUUAGGUGUAGCCGCUUAAUUUAUAGGUCUGUUCGACCUUUAAAAUCUU
rnacentral:rRNA from 1 species